CCUACGGGUGGCAGCAGUGAGGAAUAUUGGUCAAUGGGCGCGAGCCUGAACCAGCCAAGUCGCGUGAGGGAAGACGGUCCUAUGGAUUGUAAACUUCUUUUAUAAAGGAAUAAAACGAGGCACGUGUGCCUUUUUGCAUGUACUUUAUGAAUAAGGAUCGGCUAACUCCGUGCCAGCAGCCGCGGUAAUACGGAGGAUCCGAGCGUUAUCCGGAUUUAUUGGGUUUAAAGGGAGCGUAGAUGGGUUGUUAAGUCAGUUGUGAAAGUUUGCGGCUCAACCGUAAAAUUGCAAUUGAUACUGGCAGUCUUGAGUACAGUUGAGGUAGGCGGAAUUCGUGGUGUAGCGGUGAAAUGCUUAGAUAUCACGAAGAACCCCGAUUGCGAAGGCAGCUUACUAAACUGUGACUGACAUUGAUGCUCGAAAGUGUGGGUAUCAAACAGGAUUAGAUACCCCUGUAGUC
rnacentral:rRNA from 1 species